rnacentral:rRNA from 1 species
UAACGACUCUCGGCAACGGAUAUCUCGGCUCUCGCAUCGAUGAAGAACGCAGCAAAAUGCGAUACUUGGUGUGAAUUGCAGAAUCCCGUGAAUCAUCGAGUUUUUGAACGCAAGUUGCGCCCGAAGCCUUCCGGCCGAGGGCACGUUUGCCUGGGCGUCACGC